rnacentral:rRNA from 1 species
GACGAACGCUGGCGGCGCGCUUAACACAUGCAAGUCGAACGGAAAGGCCUGCUUUCCCUUGUGGAUUGCGGGUACUCGAGUGGCGAACGGGUGAGUAACACGUGAGUGAUCUGCCCCCAACUUGGGUAUAAGCCUGGGAAACUGGGUCUAAUUCCCGAUAGGACUGCAGGGUGGUGCCUGUGGUGGAAAACGAUUUUCUAGUGGUUGGGGAUGAGCUCGCGGCCUAUCAGCUUGUUGGUGGGGUAAUGGCUACCAAGGCGGCGACGGGUAGCCGGCCUGAGAGGGUGGACGGCCACAUUGGGACUGAGAUACGGCCCAGACUCCUACGGGAGGCAGCAGUGGGGAAUAUGGCACAAUGGGCGGAAGCCUGAUGCAGCGACGCCGCGUGGGGGAUGACGGCCUUCGGGUUGUAAACUCCUUUCGACCGCGAGGAAGCCACCUGGUUGGAAGGGUGGUGACGGUAGUGGUAGAAGAAGCACCGGCUAACUACGUG